AAAAAAACCCAGGCACAGUAGCCACACCUAUACUAUAGCCCCAACACUUGCAGGCCAGGAUGGAAAGAGCCCUGAGAGUUUGCUGGUCAGGGAGUUCAUGUGAGAGCUCUCAAGUUCUGUGAGAGAUCUUGUCUCAGAUAUUAAAGCAGGAGCAGCUGGCUUGGCAGUUAAGAGCACUUACUGCUUUUCAAGAGGACCAGGGGUCAGUUGCCAGGCCUCACAUGGUGUCUCAUUACCUUCUGUAACUCCAGUUCAGGGAAUCAAAUGCUCUCUUCUGAUGCACCAGGUAUGUCAUGCAAUGCGCACACGUGCAUACAUGCAAAAUAUUUAUACACGUAAAAUAGCCACAGAGUAAAUGAGGAUGCCCCCACCCCCCUCUGCCAACUUAAACCUCCAAAGCAUCAGAUGUGGUGGCCCACACUUGUAAAAGCCAGACCUCCAUAACAGCACCCUGUCUCAAAACCACAGAACAGAAAGCAAAACAACACCAGCAAGGCCACUCGUUCACCUUUCCCUUUAAUUGACAUUUAUUACGCACAGAUUAUUACACGUGCACUUAUGAAUCCCAUGACUUAUAUAGAUAACAGGUUAAACAUUACAGUUUGGAAAAGAUCUUAUAGAUAGUUUUACUUCGGUUUCCUCAAAGUACCGAGGGCCAAAGUGACUUCCUUAAAGCCACAUAGAUGAGCAAGCUGCCUAAAGCCAGCCUCUGCAGAGCCACAUCCUCCUCAGGCUGGUUUCAGUGUUAACGAGUUUCCCUGGUUUAGCUCAUCCAGCAAUAUUCACUGAGCCCCAGUAAUGUACAGACGUUAUCCUACUCCCGGAGGAUAGCUGCAUACCUUGCAAGGAGCCUGUGGUUUACAGAGAAGAAAGAUCGAAGCCAGGCAUGGAAAUACAACAAGUGUCCAUGCUCUGGAUUGAUUGCCUUGCUUUUUAUAACAGAAGCAACUUAAGGAAGGGUUCAUUCAGGCUCGCAGUUUGAGGGGAUACAGUCUACCUUGGUGGAGAGAGCUCAAUAGCAGAGGCAUGUGAACUGGUCACAAUUGCUUAUACACAGUCAGAAAACAGAGAGGAACACUGGUGCUCGGCCGGCUUUCUUUCUCCUUUUUUUAUUUAGUCCAGAGCCUCAGGUGAAGCCAUGGUGCCUCCCACACUCAAAGUGGGUCUUCCCACCUCCACUAAGUCUUUCCAGAAAGACCCUUUCGGACACACCUAAAAACACGUUGCCUAGGUGAUCCUAACUCUUAUCAAGUUGACAAUCAAGAUUAACAGUCACGGGGCUGGAUUCAUUCUCUGUCUCUCUCUCUCCACUGCAGCAGGGAACACACUGCAUCUCAAGGAGGAAGGUGUGAGUGCAGGCACACGCUGGCCAUGUGCACAUGUGGAAGUCAGAGGACAACUUGCAGGAAUCAGCUCUCUCCUUCUCCCAGAGCUGGAGAGUUGUCUCAGCAUUUAAGAAACAUAUUGGCUGUUCUUUCAGCGGGACAGGAGAUCAUUGUCAACAUCCACGCUGGGUGACUUGCAACCUCCUGUAACUCCAGCUCCGAGAGACACGAAACCCUGGCCUCUCCAGGCUCAAGCUCACAUGCUCGGACAAACACACACACACAUAAUCAAAGUGAAUCGUAAGAGAAGAAAAACCUGGACUGGAGAGAUAGCUCAUUAGUUAAGAGCACUGACUGCUCUUCCAAAGGUCGUGAGUUCAAAUCCCAGCAACCACAUGGUGGCUCACAACCAUCCAUAAUGAGAUCUGAUGCCCUCUUUGGGGGUGUCUGAAGACAGCUACAGUGUACUUAGAUAUAGUAAUAAAUAAAUAAAUCUUUGGGCCAGAGUGAGUGGGGUCAGAGAAACCCUGUCUCAGAAAGAAAGAAAGAAAGAAAGAAAAGGAAAGGAAAGGAAAGGAAAGGAAAGGAAAGGAAAGAAUUCCUUGCAUUCCUCUUCCCAUGGCCUCUCUGGUGUGCUGAAAUUAUAGAUAUGCACCUCAUGUCCAACUGUCCUAAGCUAAGCUUGCCAUCUUCCCCAGCAACUUCAGCCUUGGACUGACCACCCAGGAGUACCUCAUUCUCUCACACCCAACUGUAACAAGGAGAGCAGCUGGGUACGGUCGCUCAGGCCUUUAAUCAAAAACGAGUUCAAGGCCAGUCUGUGCUGUGUGGUGAGCUCACGACUCUGAGCAAAACAAAACAAAGCAAGAGCUAAGUGUGGUAGUAACCCUCCUAUGAGAUGCCGAAGAGGCGGAGGCAGGAGGAUGGAGGGUUGGAGGCCACCCUAGCCUACACCUAAAAAGAAAGAAAGAAAGAAAGAAAGAAAGAAAGAAAGAAAGAAAGAAAGAAAGAAAGAAAGAAAGAAAGAAAGAAAGAAAGCAGGCAAUGACCCAAGAAACGAACCCAAAGAAACAUUUGGGGACAAUGGGGCCACAAGUCCUUCUCUUCUGCUUAGAAGCUGAUCAGAUAGAUACAAGGAAGGCUGGGAUGUGCUGUUGCUAGAUGUGGAUUAAUCUACAACAUUAAUAGAAAAACAAAGACUCCGUAGGCAUGGUGUCAUGUGGCUGUAAUCCCAACCUUCAGGAGUUAAAGGACAGCUUGAACCACAAAACCAGACUGUGUCUGGACUAGGGAGGAUAGAUUUUAGUGAAAGGCUAGUGGUUUGCAUCACUGUCUCUUAAAUCCACCACUCUACACCAACUGUUUCCUUAGUUCCUACUUAUUUUCUGGCUCUAGGAUGGCCUUUCUCUAACCAACUACUAAUUAGCUGCCAGCUAUCUUUCUUACAUGCAAAUUGGAUCCUAUAACUUCCCUGUUCCAAAUCAUGCAAUUGGGCCUGGAGCAUAGCUGAGGGUGGCAUAGUUGCCUAGGAUCCUCCCACGGAGGGGCUGGGCUUGUAGCACAAUGGUAGAGAGCUUACAUGACAAGGCCUUAGGCUCAAUCCUCAAUCCUGUAAAAUAAACACUGAUGUGGUCAUUUCUCAUGGCUUCCUUUUGAAGGGCCAAACUUAGCUACAUGACACCCAGCCAGGUCAUGCCCCCUCCUUUAGCAUGCCUUCCACCCAGACUCCAACACACAAAAACAUUUUUUAAGGUCAUUUUCUGGGGUUCAUUUUAAAGACUGUUUCCCUAGCCAACAUGGUUGCUUGUGCCCCACUGCAAUGCUGGUCCCGUCUCCAUUGCAGCCUUUACCAGGCUGAGUACUUUUGGAUUCCUGCCACCUGUACUGGGCCAAGGACUUCCUGUGUAGCCAAAGCAUUUGGUUUAAUCUGGCAGAAGGUUGGACGAGACCUGGGCCAGCAAGAAACAGACUCUCGCACAAUGCCAAGUAUAGAUAGAAUACAAUCCGCUCAGCAAAACAGCUGCUAUCUUGACCAGAUCAGCUGUGCCUUUGUGCAAAUUCAUCACAAUUGGGCCUGUGGGCUGUUGACAUUCAUGAAAGAGGGGAUGGGGAGGGUCAUUGGAACCCUGGGUUCCAACCACUUUUUCUCAGCUGUGUGUAUGCAGUUCUGUCUGUAUAUGAAAGUUAAAUAAGGAAGUAGAAACUCAAGAUUUCGUUGGAAAGACAGUUGUGUUGGAUGGUGUUUUGCUGCGGCAAACACAUGAAGGAGUGUUUUUCUGAAGCGGCUACCAGUAAAAGGAUGUUUUGUUAAAGUAGACACGUGAAGGAACAUUUUGCUGAAGUGGAUACGGGUGAAAGACUAAGGCAGACUCUUGAAGGACCAUUUUGCUGAAGCAGACACAGGUAAAAGGAUGUUCGGCUAAAGCACGCACGUGAAAGGACACGUGAUGAAGGAGUCUUUGCUAAUGGCACGCAUGUAUUGGUCCUCCUUACAUUGUGUAGUUGGGCUGCAUUUGUGCGGACUCCGUAGAGAGAAAUGCACCAAAAAGCUUCUGUUGGUGGCUGAGGCUUCUUGUCACUCCCUCAGACUCUGGCUGAUUGGCAGAGUGAUGUCAGCUGAGACAGACUUACGUACCGGACAAGACACAACAGAGACAAGACCCAUGGAGGACACAUGAUACUGGGAGGGAGCAGAAAAAGGACCUUAUGGACAGUGAUGGAGGCCAGGCUCAUUAGUUCUAGGGGGAACUUUGGUAGAAUUGUGCUUUGGUUUAUUGGGACCAAAUGAGAAGGCACAUAGAUAUUGCUUAUGUCUCCCCAGAGAAGAAAUGCUCACAACACCAAGUCAUGUGUUAAGGGUCUGAAGGCGUAGGCCCGACCCUUGGAUAUCAAUACCUUGUUUGAGUUAGCCUGAAUGUGAGAAUGGAAUGUGGGGGGCUUUAGUAGCUUGAUUGAAUUAAUGAUUUAACCAUUUAUCUUCCUGGAUGGACAUUAAACUCUGACAGUCUCAUCAAUAUCUAUAAGUCGUUGUAUUCCCAGUGACCAUUAGACACCUUCAGGAUACUUAUGGAUGGUCGGCACGAUGCUUCAGCAUUAUCUUGGUAAACUUGCUACCAAGUUCGAUCCCCAGGACUUAGAUUGUGGAAGGAGGGCUGGAGAGAUGGCUCAGCGGUUAAGAGCACUGACUGCAAUUCCAGAGGUCCUGAGUUCAAAUC